UCUGCCAGAUUCAUGGCUAGGCUUUUUAGUAUCUAGCAGUUGCUAUUAACCAGCACAAGCUCUGGAAAGACCCAAAACAUGUACAGUGGCUUUGUGGCAGAGUGUUGAUGGGAAUAUUGAUACAUGACGACAUGAUUCUCAGCAAUAAAAGAUGACUGCCUCCAUGUUCUAAAUGGUAAUUCAAGAUGAGCUCCAAGCAGGAUGAAACGAUGACACUUCAACUGCGUUGACAGUUCCCAAGUUGCAGCCCAAGAAGAUGGCAAAAGGUCUUGUCUUGGAAAAUUCAGAAUCCCCUCAAUCCACGAUCAGAAAGAAAGCCCAAGCAACGCCAAGGGGAAGAUGAGAUGUUCCAAGACUCAAUAUGCUUUACAAUAUUUGGCCAUCAUUCCAUAUUCACUCAUCACUGUGUAAACAAUUGCCAGAAAGCUGAAGCGCAUGUAUGUGUGUUUAUCUAUCUAAGUAGUAAGCUAUCAUAAUUAUUCUUAAACUUUUGUAAUAAGGGGAGAAACAUGUAAUCUACUCUGUUGUAAACUGAAAACUUCUGAAUUAUUCUUCUUGUACUGGCCUCAGUCUGGAGAAAGAAUUUGCAGCGUAGCUAGGUUGUCAGAACAGAAGCUUUCUUCCCCAUGUUUGUGCAUGUGCAUUUAGUACAUUUAUAUCCUGUUUUUCUUUUAUCAUGGAAUUGGAGAUGAGGAAUCUAAUGUUUUCUUUUUCUUCCUUAGAGAGACAUCUGCCUCUUUCCCAACUGGAGCCAUCAGGGAACGAGAAGAACAAAAGAGAAUGACAGAGGGUUUUUUCAUAUAGGCAAUGAGAAAUACAACUACAUUUAAUAAUAGAAGCAGACACAGGGCACAUCUACACUGUAAAAAAAGCAGUUUGACACACUAUGGAACCAUCCUAUGGAAUCCUGGGAUUUGUAGUUUUACAAGGUGUUUAGCCUUCUCUGCCUGUGAGUGCAGGUGCCUCGCAACACUACAACUCCCAGGAUGGAGUCAUAGCAGUUAAAGUGUUGUCCAACUGCAUUAUUUCUACAGUGUAGAUGUGCCCACAGAAGUAGCAGAAUGACAUAAGAUCAACCAAGAUCAAGCUGGGAGCUGGAAAAGAAGCAAAGGCAGGGAAAGAAAGUGACAGAGGGAGCUCAGAAUACCCAGUUGGCCAGUCUGCUUUAAGACAUGUCAUUUUCUCUGGAUACUAGUAGGUGUAGCCCACAUCUUGUAGAUUGUUGGACUGUCUUCCAACAGAAGAAUAGUGGAUUGUUAAAUUGUUCAAUUCAGCUGAGAUGGAUGAACUGGCAAUGCUGAUGAAAGAAAAAAUUGUUAGACUUUUUUUCAAAGACUGGGAAUUAUAUUUAACCUAUAUGAAGAAGAAACAAGGGAAGAUUUUAGUUGUGGAUUUUGAAGCUUGAAGCAGCUUUGUUUAAAUUUUUUACAUCAGAAGUGAAAUAAAAAUGAGCAU